CAGACACUGGAGGUGGUGAAAUUUCUGUGCAGGAAAAGGAGCUCCUUACGAUGCGAUGUGAAGCUGGGUCCAGCCCACAAAGAAGUGAAGGGGACAGUCCAUGAAAUCUUUUGGGAGAAGCAAAUGUUUGCCAUCCUUGGGGGGCUUGGCAGAUCUAGUAUUUCAGCAGAAUUCAUUGAGAACCAAGCGAGAGCCUUUCACUGCACUGCAGGACUCUGAUGAAUUAAAAACGGAGGAAGGAGAAGGGGAGUCAGCAAACAAAUGGCCAAUGAAGUGAACCUGCUUCAACGAGCACAGCAAAACCACACCCCAGCCUAGAAGGGGCUCAGCCGUAUGAGAAGGAAAAGCCUUACUACCACAUCCCUGUGGGCAAUAGAGAAAAACAGGACAGUGACCAAUCUAGGGAGACAAUGUUUCCCGAAGGAGUUGUACAAA